AGGGAAUAAAGUUGAAACUUGUUCUCUCCAUUAAGCAACCCUUCAAAACUUUCAAUGCUUGUUUUGUUCUAAACAGACAUAAAUCUUGACAAAUAAUGAUCAACAAAUGGUAACAAUGGCAGUGAAGCCAACACAGCUACCACGGGCUCUUCACCUUGUUCCUGCCUCCAGAGCAUAACACCAGUUAUAAGCCAUGCAAACUGUUACUGGGGCAGGAGCUGAGCCCCAUGCACCGUGGAGCAUACAAAUCCAGGCAGACUGUGCAGGGGAUGACAAAAGCACUUCAGUCCUCCUGGUUCCUCAUGGCACUGCACUUGUACCUGGGAAACUCUCUACCCAGAGGUGAGAUUAGUUCUCAAAGUAAAUCUUCAGAACCUAAAAAAACAACCCAUGACCUCAUUACCUUCUUCCAUCAUGGUGCUGGAAGCCUAGAGAUGACUGAGCUUACAUUAAUAUGUUUGCUGGGAAGUUACACCAGAUGACCUCUAGAGUUCCAACCUCAGACAUUCCGUGAUUCUGCGCAUGGAAUCUUCCAGCAUCUGUCUUAGGUAUUGCCUUCAUGGGAAAUUCUAACAUACGUGCUCAAAGCUAUGCAUACAGGUGAGUAUUUCCUGAGUCAAAGGCACAGUUAUUAAAAACAGUGUGAGCAAAUAUUCUUCAAAAAUAAUGUAAAAUUAAUACAAACAUAUUACUGUCAUUUUUUAUUCAACAGUAAGGAUAUUAUUUUGUAGUCUCCUACAAAAUAACCUACUGCUGCAGCUGAGUUUUGGAUUUAAUGUCACUUCAUUAUUUGCUAUUUUUGAAAAUUGUUAAGAAAAUCUGUCAAUAUAAAUCAUAAUAUAUAUAUGUGAAGUUUUGUCAAGUUUCUGGAUAAUUAAUCUUCAGUGCAGGAUAUGAUUUUGACUACAGAAAAAAAGUGCUUCUCUCAUUGGAUUUUCUUUGUUCUGACUUACAAAAUGUUUUUUAAAAGCCUACAGAGAAACAUGAAGCUAUUGGAACAGAUUUCUUUAUUUCCACAUCUCUCCAGUUCCUCAAUAUCAUAUCCUCUGCAUAUUUCAUAUUUCCUCCCCCUUGCUCAAGAAUACAGUGAACUGAUGCCUCUGCUCUGAUUAAAGCAGUGCGUAUUUCUUUCAAACAUGAGUUAGUGCUACACAGAAUGAAGGCGUAUUUAGCUUCUAAGAAAUACAACUUGUUUCUGCAAUAUUCAUGGCAUCCAGAUCAAUAAAUCAUUUAAAUUCUAAGACUAAAACUUCCCUAGGUACAGAGGUCAAACUACAGUGGAACUAGGAAAUAUCAAUUUCUCACAGAUGUGCAAUUAGAACAUCUGUUAACUGUAGUCUAAUCAUAACUGUUGUAUUUUUGCUUUUGUUCUAACAUGAGGAACUUAGCAUCCUAUAUUCAGCUUAAGCAGGGCAAUUGGUCACUGCCAUAUUUUUAAUGAAGGGUAUCGAGUCUGGCAAAAUUUUGGAUCUCAGGUGUGAGUUUGCUACAUUUUCUACCCUAAACUCCAUACAGAAGAGACAUUAGUUCACCAAAUCAUCUUCUUUUUACAUGUAUAUAUCCAACGAGUUUCUGCUUUGUGGCUAUAAUGAGAAGCUGAUAGGAUUCCACAUGGCUAUUGAUCUCAGGUGAGCCAACUAACCUGAUGUCUCUUAGACUCCAAUCUAGCAAAUAUGUUACCUGCGCAUUCAGCUCCGAGAUGGUGAGUAGCAUGCACCCUACCAGUGCUUGUAUUAUACAAAAUGAAUGAAAAGCGUUGUAAAGAAAACUCUGUCCACAAUGGUAGAUGCCUGGUAAGUGGAACCAAGGCCUCUGAGUCUAUUUCAUGCAGAACAAAUACUUGCAGGACAGAGGUAUUAGAAGAUGAAGGAAGAAACACCAGGCUGAGUCCAGAGUCAUCUUCAAACCAGUGUUUACUUAUGACAGAAAUUUGGCAUGCUAUUUAAGUUCCCUUUGUUUCAAUUCUUCUGUCCAUCUCUGCAAAAUCAAUUUAGAUCCAGAGAUGAGUACUGGUUUAAGUGCUAAACUCACUAUUAUUGCUCCUCUGGGGUUGGGGUGAAAGCUCUCUUUCUAAAGAGGUACAGAAUGCCAAUUGGCACUGAUUAAAGCUAAAAACAUGCAAACAGCAAAUCCAUGUGUUGUUGUUGACAAAUAGCCUCUUAAAAGGAGGCAUGGUCUAACUGGCUUUGAACCAAAAACCAUAAUUGUCAUUGGCAUUCUUGCAUUAAGAGAAGUGAUAUGCUGACCUGAAGUGUCCAAGGCAGGAAUAGUUGAAAGCAUGCUGGUCUUCCCACUUCCGGUACUAUCAUCCAUUUCAGAAGAUACCAGAGUGAAACACUGGUUCAUGACAAAGAAAGUUUUUAUGAAGCAUCCUCCUCUUCACUUACUCUAUUAAAUGAACAAGCUGAAGCCAGGAAGAAGAAAGAUCUUCAUUACAUUUCCUGGGCACUGAGAAUAUGUGUCAAUGGAAAGAUGAAUGGACUUAAAUAUAAGCUUUUGAGUUUUGGAUCUCAUAACGUUAACAAUCUGAAAAUCAGAAAAUGAAGUUUGACUUCUAAUUUUAUUUUUUUUUUUUACACUGACAUAUAAAAAUACAACAUUAGAGCAGAGGUAAAACUCAAGGACAUCUCUUGUGGAUUUUGGAGAAUGCAGCCAUGUUGGAGACAAGACUGACCAGAUGCAAUGGUGAAGUUGAUGGAACUAAUGAGUGGAAAUUAGGUAUUCUGUGGACAGAAGAGCUUGUAACUUCAUGUGUGAUACAGCACCAUGUGCCGUGUGCGCAUGUGUAUAGCACCAUAUUUGAUGUAAGGAAGAGUAAUGCAACCGAACGCAGAUUUCUACCUUUCAUGUAUAUAAGUGAAAGAAUAUCAAGGUAGAUGCACAAAGAAUACUGGAAUAAUGUUUGAUUUGUAAUGUGCAGUAAAAAGGUGAAAUAAGUCUGAGUAUACCACUGUUUCAGCACACGGGCUAUAGCAAGCAAUGCAGAUGCCAACAUUCUUGCAGUAGUACUUCCUUUCUAUAGGGACAGGAUAUACACGAUGCCAAAAAAAAGGAAUGGUGUUCCAUAUGGUUUGACAGGUCCUGUUAAUACCUGCGGUUCUUAAUCUCUGUCAAAAUGUGAAAAUGGAAAAAAAUGCUUCUGUUUAUGUGCGCAAGUGUGCUUUUCUGCAGGAACAAAUCCAAUUAGCAUGUGGACACUGAGGAAAGAUUGUCAGACACAGAGCACUGCUGUCAAUGUCUGGUCACACAGGCAACUGCUGGCACUAGGGGAUUAAAAGUUUUAUGCCAAAUAAAAAACAAUCUGUUCAGAAACUAGGCAUACCAGAAGCAAGCUCAGAGUGCACAAUGCUGCCCAAGAGAAGGAUAUUUGUUGCUUUGCAGAAGUAAGCUUUCCCAUGCCUUUUCUGUGUUCCCUGUCCCCAUUGCUCAGUCAGCCAAUGCACUCCUAAGUAAUCAUAGAAUCAAUCACAAAAUCAUCUAGGUUAGAAAGACUAUUAAAAUCACAUAGUCCAGCCGUGUACCUAUGCCUGUGACCGCUCUAGAUCAAGUCGCUCAGCAUGAUAUCUACCCUUUUCUUGAACACCUCCAGAGAUGGUGACUCCAAGCAAGCUGCUGUGCUGCACAUCACAUACCAAUCCAUAAAGGGUCAGUCAAUGAGGCAAGAAUUUCUUGGCAGUUGGCAGCCUUCUGGCCUGCCUUUUUCCUUGGGCCAAGAAUAGGCUCUCCAUUCCUCAGAAGAAACAACCAGAGAAAAAAAAUGGAGAUGCCUUAGUUUUCCACUGGAAGGAAACUAUACAUAAGCCUAUUUCUUGUGUUAGAGCUACAGAAGGAGGUGAGACCUCAAUCCUCUAGUGUAGGUUACUGAAGUUCAGGGCAGGUAGUGCUAGAUACUAUAUUGCCAUAUCUACAGCCAAGUUGUAAAAGCUGUAAAAGAAGAGAGAUGGGAAUUUUUAAAAUGUAGUUCACUUGACCUUGAAAACAGGUCAACACAUUCACUUUAUCACCAACUACCCUGUCCUAUAGUCGAAGUUCCCACAUUUCUCUGUUGUCUCUGAAAGCAGCUGAGUAUAAGUUCAAAGAUUUAGAGAUGUACACAUGGUCAUGUUGCUUCUUUUCCUUUUCAGCUAAACGCACGGCCAACCAGGCCACCCCUCUCCUGGAUUCCUACUUCACCAUGCCAUAUUUUUUUCGGCCAUGACUGUACUUCACUUAUGAAAAACAGUUAUCUUAAUCCUCCUAAUGUUGCUAUUUCACCUUUGUGAUAGUUGCACUGGUUCUGCUCUUAGGACUCUGAUUAAUUUCCUUUCCCGAGUGAGAUGUCUGUAUGUCAGAGCACGUUUGGUCCUUUUCACUCAGGAAUUUUGUUGGGAAACACAGAAUUUCUUUCUCGUGUCAAUUUGUAGUAGCUAUUAUUAUGGAUUUGCAUUUUUUUUUUUUCACAACACAUGCUGAUGAGACCUUUGAGGUGGGCUUUGUGGUCAGUAUUAGUCAAUCUACUUAAAAGAAGAAAAGUGGUAGAGAAAAUGAGCUUUAUAGAGGGUAUGGAACAUUUCAACAGUCUACAGUGUGACAGAGAGUGCACAAAAUACAGCAGAGCUUAUGUGCUGGGCCAAAGUAACUAGUGAAUCCGAGAUAAUAACAGCAAUAUUUCUUGUUAUCAGUGAUAUUCAGAAAAAAUAUUAGAAAGGUUCUGAUUUUAUUGUGUAGAUAGUUAUAUUUCAGUGAACACUUGGAACACCUUGGAGAAAAGGUAUAUGCUUUUUCAGAGAAAAAUGAGCCAUUUGAUUCUUUUUCUUUCAAGACGUAUACCAGUAAAAGUAUCCAGAAAAAAAA